AGCGAACGCUGGCGGCAGGCUUAACACAUGCAAGUCGAGCGGGCAUCUUCGGAUGUCAGCGGCAGACGGGUGAGUAACACGUGGGAACGUACCCUUCGGUUCGGAACAACUCUGGGAAACUGGAGCUAAUACCGGAUACGCCCUUAUGGGGAAAGGUUUACUGCCGAAGGAUCGGCCCGCGUCUGAUUAGCUUGUUGGUGGGGUAACGGCCUACCAAGGCGACGAUCAGUAGCUGGUCUGAGAGGAUGAUCAGCCACACUGGGACUGAGACACGGCCGAGACUCCUACGGGAGGCAGCAGUGGGGAAUAUUGGAAAAUGGGGGCAAGCCUGAUCCAGCCAUGCCGCGUGAGUGAUGAAGGCCUUAGGGUUGUAAAGCUCUUGUGUCCGGGACGAUAAUGACGGUACCGGAAGAAUAAGCCCCGGCUAACUUCGUG
rnacentral:rRNA from 1 species